ensembl:lncRNA
GGGGGGGGAUGGAAGCGGGGUGAGCAGCUUGGCCUUUCUCCCUGUCUCUUUCUGUCAUGUGCACCAGGGGGAGUUUUGCGAGGUGUGUGCACACACAUUCACACGCAGGCGUUGGCAGCAAUAAUUUGGUUUCACUUCAAAGAGAAGCGCGGUUGUUCUUCGCUGAUUGGCCCCUCUAAACUAGGGUGGUUAAGGGACCCUGGGAGCUCCGGACCAUUCUCUGCCAAUACCGUGUCGCCGCGUGUGUAGAUAUUUAACAACCAAAAUAACAUUCCCGCUAAUUUAGUCCUGUGGGACAAAUAUUAAUCAAGUUGACAAUAAAUUAAGCGUGCAAGUAAAAACCAGAGGCGAGAGCGACAGUGUGGAUCUCUGUGUUAUAGUGAUGUUGUUAUUCAACCGGAUAAUAAAAAAAUAGCCGAAACAUGUUUAUUUCGCAGAAGCUAGGGACUGUUAGAGCUAUCGCCGUCAGCUUUUCCACUUUCCAAAGGUCUUUGAAUAUGUGAAUGAUGCUCCUCUAAGGAAAUUGACCAAAUCCAAGCUUAAAAUAGUAAUGUUUCAAUAGAUUCCUUUUUCGUAUCUCAUUUCAAAUUCAAAAAAUAAACUAUUUAGACAAACAGUCAGUGAAACCUGGACGGAGAGCAGAGGGCAGGUGUAAAAAUAGUUCAUUAUGUGUCGCUAAUGAGGCGUUUGUUACCAGAUUCCAUUUUAUUACAGCGUUGUGUAUGUGUUUCCUUUAGCGUAAUGUUGAGUACUAAAAUAUAAACAUGAACGCACGCUUACGCUAGAAAGAAAUUACACUAUAAAUGCAUAGUAAUAAUGGGUGAAGGCCGCUUAAAGGCCGGAUUGCACCAACAACAUGUAUUUCAAGUCACAACACCAGCACACGAACAUGUUGCAAAAAGAUGCACCCACUAUCUGGUUCAAAUGCAGUUCAACAGGAACCACCUGUUCCCCGUUUUAAGAAUAACAUGUCCAUACCUAAAACUACGCCUAGCACUCAUAUGCAAAACAUUUUUUUAUUAUUAUUAUUAUCAUCUUGCACACAUCUUGCAAACAUCCUGAUAUGAAGAACUCAUGAACAACAGGAGGCGUGUUGACGCCUAGAGGGAUGGACACCCCUGUGCUUCAAUGGGGCUCUCCGAGGGUUCUAAGCAGGAGCCGCCUCCAUCUUAAUAACCAAUCAAAAAUGCUCUUAGAGACUAUAUAAUUCAAGCGCAUUUUGUAUUAAGCGCCUUCUUUCAUGUUAAACUGCCUGAAAUAGGUCUGUGCACGUUAAAUUGCAGGACAGAAUACUCUUGUUGCAAAGAAACUGGUAUUAGUAAAUUGUCACAUUGCUUUGAGCAAAGUCUCCAGUCUAGUCCUUGUUUUGCUCGCACGACAGUAACCAGUGUCUGAAAAGACAUAAAAUAAGGAACAAAAUACUGGGCUGUGCAUAUUUCAUAAACUAGAUAAUACUGUGAGAGGCUGACAAAACUUUUUCUCUCUGUCAACAUGUCAUGACACACACCCACACUCCCUCCCUGCCACUAGCAGACCGUCAAAUGGGUUGUGUGCAUUUCAGGGAGAAGCAGCCCGGGCUUAAUUACCGCCGUGCUAAGUGAAUCCCAGUGUGAGUGAUGUGCGGGGACAGGACUCUUGGUGACACAAUGAAGAUGAAAUAGUAUUAAGCAGCCAAGUAGAUAAUCCAUUUAGGAAGGUCUGGGAAACGUGACGGAUUAUAUACUCGUUGCAAUACACAUCCAGAGUUGUUUGAAAUCUGAAAUGUUUUCAUUUUCUGCCUCUUUACCAGAGUUAUUAAAAUAGAGAAUAGAAUAGUAAAUACAUGUUUUCCCUCUUACCUGCAGUAGUGUUUUAACAAUGCGUCGACACGUCUGCAAUGUGAUGGGACGAGGCGGUACUCGCCUCGUGAAAAUACAUUUCGAGAACUCGACAGCAAUGUCUCUUUCCAUAAACACGCUGAAGGAAAUCCGCAAAAGUGUCAGUUUAAUGAGAUAUCUCCAAAAGUAGACAACUUGCAGUGAAACUCUUUGGAAUAGUAAAAGAAAAAGCAUCACAGGUUAAAAGAAACACAAUGUUUUGUUGUUGGGAUGAGCUGUUCCUUUAAGUUGAUUUUUAGGAACAGAAUAUUAAAAUAACACAACACUGCCGUUGCUGGCUUAUUGUGCUACAUUUCCUGUAAUGUAGUCGUUGCUGCAAAAUAAGGAGUUAAAUGAACCUUCUGCUUAUUUUUCUUUUGCUUGUCCGUUCCCAGUAACACACACAAAAGGAUCCCUAAAUUAAUUUAUAAUAUUAAUAGAGAUGCAGCCCUUACAAAAUGUCCAGGGGUCUCUGUCACAUAUGUCCCUUGGAAUAAUUCGACAACCCUCUUUCUUUACACACCGUCAGCCUGGUUAGUAAUGUUAAAUAAUACACACGACAAACGCUGCUUAGGCACUGCCCAAUAGGUAAAGAAAGGGGUAAAGCAACAUUUCUUUGUGGAAAUGUACAAAGGUUAUUAUCUUUAUAUUUAAAUAGGAACAACGUGUAUAUAUUCACGUAUCUGUCUUUUACCGUCCACUUUAUCCGCUCUCACCUUUUCUUGCCCCUUCCCUCCUCCCCGUUUGCUCCUCCUAUCAUCUAUUACUCCAACCAUGUCCUCGGCCUUCCAUUCCUCAUCUCCAUGGUCUCUGUCUCUCUCCCUCCAUCUUCUAUCUUUCGGGUCCUCCCUCCAUCUUUCCUCUCAUCCCAAGGCUUCCUCACUCUUUCUCUCUGCUCCAUUUUGGCCCCAGCAGGCUGCAGAUGGAGCUUAAUGGACGCAUAACCAAGCGUAACUGCCUCGUGAAUAAUUUGGCGUGCGCGAGGUGAGCCGUAGGACAGCUCCGUGUGUGGCCACACAGAAAAGUAGACGCACACAGGCAAACUCCAGCGAGUAAACCACGCAACAUGACAGCCAAAACUUUACGGUUCCUCUCUACAAAUUCACGACGAAUCACAGGCACAUUUAGAAAUGUUUGUGUUUUGUUCGACCAGAUUCACGCAGUCAUCUCAAUUAACAUAAGGGCGAACAACUGCGAAGUAAGUUUCAUAGGUGGGACAAAAAGUUCUCAAUAAUGCUGGAAAAGUCCCACCGGUUGAAGAAGAAACUCUGACGAGCCUCGCUAUAGUGAUAUACACUGUAACAAAUUGCUGUAAAUUUACGGUGCAUUUCUAACGGUAUCAGUAUGUCACAAUAACUAACAUUAAAGCUGUCAAUUUACAAUAAUAGCAGACUACCGUAAUUCAACUGCAUGUUACAUAUAUUUUAUGAAGUGAUGGAAAUACACAUACAUGUGCAGUGAAUCACAAUUCAUCUACAGCUUUUUGUAGGUUAAUGUAUGGAAGCCCAUGUCAGCCACUGAAAAACAGGUUCUGUAAGUCAUCAUAAUGAGAUAGUAUCUCAUGAGAUACGAUUAUGACUUUCACUUACAGGACAUUACUAUACAUGCAGCUGUCACUUUUAUCCAAAACGCCCAUGGUUUGACAGAAUUUUAUGUGGAGUAGGCUAAUUGGGGGUUAGGUGUCUUGCUCAGGGACACUUCAACUUGACACAGGGAGCAGCCAGAAUUCAAACCGCCGACCUCGCGCUGCACGGCACACCCUCCCUAUCCCAUGCACCGCCUUCGCUGUUGUUUCAGUGGCCGGAAUGUAAAGAUUAUAAAUAUUUGUAUUAUUCAAAGUGUUCAUUGCCUAAAAGUUUGAGUGUUAAUUGUGACCGACUGCUCCUGAACGUGACAUCAGACGCGUAAUCUCAGUCCAUCCAGAACACCUGUCAGUGCAGUUCAACAUCGGAGGAGUUUCUCAUUGCCUCAUCUCUCCAAGUAAUGUUGGUAAGUGUUAUUUGCCUAGCAUGAUUAACAUUCUCCUUCCUUACAUCUUGUUGUCUUCCUCAACUUUGUAAUUUUAAUAUUUUACCAAUGACAGUGUUUCUAAAUAUUUUAUUUUGGUUUGUUUUACAGAGGCACUGGAUUAAGGACGCCAGCCGUUUGCUGCGGUCAAGUGAAAGUGUUGCAAAGCGAAUUGUUGCAGUUAGUGUACCUUGUUCCUAAUGAUUUUAUGAUUCAUUUUUUUAUUAUUGUAUACAUUUUAUGUUUUGUUUUUGGUUACAAAUGCCUAACAUUUUUUUCUUAAAGGCAUCUAAUAAACUCUAACCACUAUGACCGAAAUGAGUUUGGUUGUCUUUCUUUAAUUUGUUGGGAAUUAAAUGCGGUUAUAAGUACGGUAACAUUCUGGUAUUUAUAACACAAAAACAGUAAUCGUAUGGUAACAAACUGUAAUCCAAUAUACGACAACAUACCGUAAAUUACAGUAGGGCACUGUAAAUAAAACAGUAAGUUACUAGUGUCGACUGCCAGUAAAUUGCUGUUAAUUCACAGUAAAAUUUACGGUAACAUAGUGUAAAAACAAUUUACGGUAUUAUGCCGUAAAAUAACGGUAAAUUCCUGGCGUCCUUGCUGCCAAUAAAAUACUGUUAAUUCACGGUGAAUUUUUUAGAGUGUAGGAACAUUGAAGGUCCUGCAGCAGUCGGAGACAGCAUCUGGCCAGAGGCAAGGCCUGAGCAAUAAGGUUCCUUCAGCCCAUCACCAUCUGCCUUUCCAUGGCCGUCCAAAGAGCUGCAACAGUUUAAGCCAACUAGUCAGCUGACAUGUGGAGAAGCAGCGUGGCGUGGGACGAAGGCGGCUGGUGGUAACGCCAUUAAACGCACGCUGCAGUGCGCCCACACGCAAACAAAGGAACCAAAGCUUUCGCCUCCUUUAUGGGACUUAUGAAACCAAGUCCAUUGCAACAGUAACAGCUUAAGUCAGUCUUACGCAAACUAGGAUUCUACAUUUCAUAUCGGACAGGAUCAAUUUGUGGACUUUCGCUUUCACCUUUUUCCUGCUAUUCAAUGUCAGAACCACAUUGAAUCUAUUUUGAUUUGCAAAACAAUGAAACAGAAUGCUCCAAGGUUGGAGAGUACUUGAGGAAUUGUAUUGUAUUGUAUUGAGGAAAUUGAACUGAAAUCUGGAAUGCCCAUUGAGAUUCAUUAAAAAGGCUGAAUAUGCAGCCCCGGUUCUGUACGGAGCCGGCCCACACACUGGACAACCUCUCGAGGCUCAUCUGGUUUGAUUUAUUGAAAAGACGAUACUGAGAUUGUAUAAAAUGUUGCAGCGUAUUUCCAUGUCGUCCUGUUAAUGUAACAAAACGUGGAGCACUGAUAUUUUUCUCGGAUAUUAAGAAAAGGGAUGAAUAACAGAGGGGAGUUUAUUGCCACGUUCCAUGUAGAUGACGACUUGAGGGUUUUAUUAAUAUGAGACAUCACUUUGAUGUUACAAUGGGAGAUACGCUAACAGUAAUCAACACAUAUUUUUCUAUUUACAUAAAAAUUGUGUCCUUAUUUGUAUCAUCACACUAUAUUCAGGCUCUCUGUGGCGUCUUCUGUGGCUGUUUAUAUGUGGAAAAAAUGAUUACUUCCACACAGCUGAAGCUACCCAUGCCUUUUCCCAGCACCGCUUUCCGAGCCACUCUCCCAAACACGGCCCGCUCAGGGCCAGCUGACCCUUCUCUGCUGUCCUAAACAGCCUCACAAAGUUAUGGCGGUCACAGCGAGGCGGGGCCGGGCCUCCUGCCUGUUUUGUGUGGUAGGGGCUCCAAACUGAGCUCAUCCAGACUCCCCGAUUUCACCUCCCCGACUCAGGCAACCAAGCCGCCUUCAAUCUAUUAAACCCCCUGCAGGAUAUCUACCUCAGAUCUUCAUCCACUCGUUGCCAGAUUGUUGUUUCAACCAACCUGGUAGUGACUGCUCUUGGCUGCUCUGUUGAGUUAUUUAAGAGAUGUAGAUUAAUUGUUUUUUUUUUCAUUUCCUAUGAUCCUUUCUUUGCGUCCUUGCAGUCAUCCAUCCUCCCGGUUCUCCAGUCUGUCUGCCGUUCCCUCCGCCUGGAUUUCCCUGCCAUUCCUUGACCGUCUCCAUAGCUGUUCAUCUGGCAAUAAAUAAGUUCCCCCUGUACUUCCUGGUCUGCCUGCAUUUGGGUCCGCCACCACAUAUCAUAACAACAGCUUUCUUAUAAUUCUCAUAGUUAGUUUUUUAUCAAUAAUAAUUAUCAAUAUGUAUCAUAAUUCUUUUUUCAAUUAGCCUAUUUUCUCAUUGCACAGCUCCCGUCUUUCUCUGUUUGCUAGCUUGUUCUAAAGAGAGCUUUUAUCCAAUCAGAUUCCGCCCGUGUCUCCAUGUAAGAAAGGCCUGAGGUCCUUUGGGGAGACUUUACACAUUAAAGUGCACAGGGACGGUGUUGUUCAUUGUCAUUGUCAUCAACCAAUGAGUUCUUUAGUUUGACAUAAACGUGGCGCAAGAGUAACUUCUGUCAAACAGAAAGCUAGCUAGCAUCUUAGUAUUUAAGGAAGAACUUGCGUUUUUUUACAUCCGCAGUCGUAUUUUUAUUUGUCCCUUGUGUUGUUUUUUUAAUGUAGUUAAUAUUGUUCCCUCUGAUGUAAAUAAUAUUUGAAUGGCCGGUGCUCCCGAGUAUUUCAGGUCCGCAUUUUUGAUGGCUAUAUUUCUCAUGCUUUGUAGUGAAUAAAUGUGACUGGUGCUUGUGAGUUAAUUACAUUGAUUUGUAUAUAUGCAUUGUCCGUUACACUGCAUCCCGUUAUGCGUGUAUUCAUGCAUCUACUUUUAAUGUUACAGUGUUAUGGGAAUAUGAGGUGUUUACAAAGAACAAAUGAAAAUCUGUAACUGUGGCGUCAUAAUGAGAUUAUUGGGUUAUUCAACUGUAAUAAAUGUAAUAAUACGAACAGUGCAUCCGUUUCUAGAUACUGGCUACUUGGGCAGGAAAAGAACAUCAAUGAUAUGUAAUGAAGUGCUGAAUGUGUAGAGGUUGUGUGUGAAACGGCGAGUGCAACAUUUGAUUUUACUGAUCACCUUUGUCCUGAGAAGAGGAACAAUCGGGCCAAUCAGGCUUCAGCUGGAAUACAAAAAUCCGAACAGCGUUUGCCCUCUUCAGCCCACGGAUGAAUACCACUGAUUACAUCUGCUUCCCCCUCAUCUGUUCCCCUUCAAUUGUCUCUGUAAGUGUAACUUCAACAUUCCCAUUUAUCCACAGAAACAGGAAUGUUUCUGCUUCUGGUGUGCAGCACUCACUUGUUUGGAAAACUUAAACAAUGUUUUGUCUUAGUCAUAGUAGUCAUAUUGCCUGAGAACGGCGUAACGUGUGUGUGACCUCCCAGCAGAGAAACCUUGAUGUAUAACUGUGUGUGAUCUCAACUGAUACGCAGACCUUGGCGAAGCCUUGAUAAAUGUCUUGUGUGCAUAUGUCGUCAUUUCGGAGACUAAGAUGCAGACCUUCAACCUUGACGCAUAACUUAUGUGUGUGUGUGUCAUCUCAACUUUGGAGGCCGAGACCGUGAUGAGAGCAGCAGAUGGACGCACGUCUCUGUACAUAUUUCUACUCUGCUCUUACCUGCAAGUAUUUUGAUAAAAGUUCUGUUUAGGGAUUUUUCAACUGGGGUCGAGUGAGAUUUUUCUAACACGAUUGUAAGAGUUCUCUAAUAUCGGUCAUGUCAUCUCAUCGCCAUGCGGCGGAAACAGAACACGUAGAUAAUGGGAGAGCCAAUUAGCGCCCCCUAACCCCCCCCCGGCCCCUCCAUUUCCUCACGGAGAACUCAUUAGCUCUCGCAGAAAAGGACUCGACCGAUGUCGACGGGAGCUGAUGGAUGAGCUCUGCACUCUGCAGGGGGUCACUGUCAGUGCAGAGCGAGGUAGAGGACAGCAGAGAGUAAAUGCACCAUUACCAGCUAGAGCAGAUAGAGCUGACGGGUAAACCUCUCUAGUAACUACAGUGUUUAUUUCAAGUAAAACGAGUGGAUGUUAUACUGUAUGUUGAACUGUGACCUUUGGAGGAAGACUGCAUGCAAGUACACGGCGAAGGAAACCAUGUAGGAUUUAAUAUCCUUUAAGGAAGGGAAUAUAUUCCACACUUUUGUUGCACCUCAGAGAUACUCACACAUACACACGGCGUGUUCAGGUGGCUAACGCUAACCGAGCCAUUUCUCUGCUUAAGAGAAAACCUCCGCCGGGCACCUUGAAGCUGCACUGGCGGGUGCCGACACAGCAGCAAACAAACACUCAUUUCUCGCCUUUUAGUAUUAUUUUUUUUACUUUAAAAUACACAAUCUGAAUUCCAUUUCUGAAGUAACCAAAUCUACAGGAUUCUCAAGUAAAAGCAGGUUUACCAGCCUGCCCAAGGACACUCAGACGUGAGUCUCGCUAACAGAGCAAAAUGCAGCGAGAGACAAAAAGAAAUGUGGGUUUGCACAUUAGUGGGUUGUUUUCUCGGUGAAACAUUGGGGACAAGAGCAAAUUCCUCCAAAGGCAAAACAGCACGCUUUGCCUUUGGAGGAAUCGGCGCCCCGCAGGAGCCGUUUCAUCUGCCGUGACACGGAGCCGAUUGGAAAAAAGUUAAAAGUUUCCCUUUCAUCUCUCCCUCGUCCUCCUCCUCAUCUGACAGCAGGUGUGUGUGUGUGUGUGUGUGUGUGUCUCAGAAUCGCACUGAACUCUAAUGCAGCAGAUCAUUCUCAUAACUCCUUCGAAUGUUCAGUUUUCACUGUGAGUCUCCCGUUUGAUUUGGCCUCCCCCAAUUACCUCAGAGAGAGCGUAUUAAUAAAUGAAUGCAGAGGCCACACCCACCAAAGAGAGAGAGGAGGUAGAGGAAGAGGAGACGAAGGAGGGAAGGAAACAAACGAGUGUAGUCAUAACACUGCCGAGAGCAAGAAAGAGAGGCUGUGUGUGUGUGUGUGUGUGUGUGUGUGUGUGUGUGUGUAUUGUUUCCUGGCAGUUGUGGAUCUGUGUGUAAGAAUGUACAACCACGGUGUGAAAUAGUACUGUUUUUCGGACUUAUUAUUAUUUUGACUGUGCACAAGUUUAUAUUCUUCUCCCUGCGUGUGUGUCUGUGUGUGCUCUGUUAAACUUAAAAGGUGUUUGUGUGCCUCCGUCGGAGUCUGCAUACUUCUCUCUCAGUGUGCGUGUUUGUAUUAGUUCUCCCUGAUAAUGAGUGUUUGUGUACGACUGCAUUUCUCUCUGUGUGUCUACGGUGUGUGUCUCUGCACCUGUAUGGUGAUUCCUCUCGAGUGCAAAAGUUGUUUGUUUGCUUCAGCUGGCAACACAAAUCAGGGGAGUGGUUGAACAGGACAACAACUGAAUCUCGGCAACAAAAAGACACAGUCCCCCGGCAUCUCAUUUUCAGGCAUACUUGUUAACGCGUGUCACGUUGUGCUGUAAACAAGAGUGUGUGUGUGUGUGUGUCUGCAGUAUCACAGUACCACAGCCCGAGGGGGGCAUAGACCUGAUUAGGGGUGAGUGUUGCGAUGCCGUUCUCGGGGUCCGGACCUCCUUCUGAACGACCCGUGCACGGGAAGUCCUCUGCCAUUGCCAGGGUAACUGGCCCAGGGGGGGGGGUAACAGAUGGGAGGAAGGGGAUUGAGGAGGUGCAGGUAUCAUCAUAAAAUGUUGAAUUUAAAUGCUUAUAUAUGUAUUUAUUCAUGUUGGUUAGUGUUCCGUAUGGACCCUGGUCCUGAGUCCUGCCGGGCCCUGCUUCUUAUAACACCAUUAUUAUCCCAUUACUAUUGCUGUAAACAUUAAUGCGCAUCAUUAACUUUGUUUCUUCCACAGAGCGCGUUUUCUCGCCUCACAGGUUUCCAUGGAUCAUGGUUCUAUCUGGACCCUGUUCCUGCCUUCGGCCAUGGCCCUGCUGACUCCUGCUGCUACUAUCAUCAUUAUUAUUCUAAAUAUUAAUCAAAUUACUAUUACUGCCAUCACAAACCAACAUUACCCACUUUGAUUUUUUCCUGAAAUCUUCUGCAGAUGGUGGUUCUGUCUGCAGUGGUCCUGCCGUACACCUGACUUAAUACUAACAUACUAACGGCCUUUUUUCCUCAAAGGGUUUUUUCUUUUCUGAGGGGCGUUUGUUUUUUUUGCCCAUGGUAAACAGUCUCCUUCUUUAUCGAACAUAUUUUGAAGCCUCAAAUUGACCCGCAUCAGAAUGAUCCCGAUCAUCACUUUACUGCAGCAGGACAGCGUGACACGCAUUUAGAAUUUGGGGGUAAAGUGAGCACUGGUACUAGAUCAGCUAUCGUGUCAGAAAUGCUAUUGAAAUAAAAAAAAGACAAAUGGAUGCUUCCCUAUUUACAGACAUACGAGAUCUAUCCUUUGGCGCCAUCUGGUCUGGAUCAAAUGUUUUGCGCCAUUUGUAGUAAAUGACUGGUUUUGUUGGUCGUCGUUCCUCCACUAAAAACUACUACUCGUACUACCUGACUGGGAUGAGAGUUAACUAUUAACUACUAAGCAUGGGUCACAUGGUUUAUGUCCUCGAAACGUGUUUCUCUGAUAUAGCAGGAACACCGGGGAUGUAAAGAUGGGAGAACUGGCACAGACCUUCCCGCCCUUGGUUACCAGCCAGCAACUCAUCCCGCUUCCUCUCCAGCUGGAGGCCGCUUCACAGCGGACGGCACCAGGCGGAGAACUCUCGACGGCCGACACCACAGGAAACCCGAGGAUCGGGUAAAUCCAGCAGAUGGUCCACGGGUCCGGCUCUGAGCUCAAACAUGACGUUUGUUCAGAGCAAAGAACCAUGCCUUUGGAGGGAGGCUGCCAGUGUGUCUGACGCGGUAAAUUUCUCGCUAUAUUUUGAUUUGGUUGAAUAGUCCUGGCAGCCGCUUUCGUUGAAAAAGAGUUGGCAACAUCGGGCCGAAACA